rnacentral:lncRNA from 1 species
AGUUCCCAUCAACACUAUGACUCCCACUAGACUGUAAAUCAAGCAUCAUUUUGGGAGCUCUAGUCUUACAAAACUCCUUCCAGAGCACUCUCUUUGCAAGGUCAUCAAACCAUUUGCAUACACAAGAUAAAGUUGCUAUCGACUUGGGAUUCCAAUUCAAUUGCUGAAAAACCAGAAAUAUAAUUUCUUCACUAAGAUGCCCUUUUGUACACUUACAACUUGCUGAGGUUGCAAUCGACUUGGGAUUCCAAUUCAAUUGCUGAAAAAUCAGAAAUAUAAUUUCUUCGCUAAGAUGCCCUUUUGUACACUUACAACUUGCUGAGUGUAUGCAGCGAUACUGCUUAGUAAUGAUCAUCGUCUACAACUGCAGCCACCACAAUUGAAAUGACAACAAAAGUUAGAUCGUAUAUUUCUAGUAAUUUAACAAAGAUGACAUCAAAUACCAAAGAUACUUCAAAUUGGCGGUAAAAAGUGUAAGAUCAAGGACUGCUUAGUGGCAUAAACAAUGAAAAUAUAACUCUAGUCGACAACCCUAUAUACGAACCAAUCAUGCUAGUAUGCUGAACAUAAGAUCAGACGAUUUCCAAAAGCCCCAUUCAAUAGAAAGUAAUCUCUCUGCUUAUCACUUGAUAGUUUUACUUUUACCA